AGAACGAACGCUGGCGGCAUGCCUAAUACAUGCAAGUCGAACGAACACUUCGGUGUUAGUGGCGCACGGGUGCGUAACGCGUGGGAAUCUGCCCUUGGGUUCGGAAUAACAGUUGGAAACGACUGCUAAUACCGGAUGAUAUCGAAAGAUCAAAGAUUUAUCGCCCAGGGAUGACGCCCGCGUAGGAUUAGCUAGUUGGUGAGGUAAAGGCUCACCAAGGCGACGAUCCUUAGCUGGUCUGAGAGGAUGAUCACGCCACACUGGGACUGAGACACGCCCAGACUCCGUACGGAGCAGCAGUAGGAAUAGUGGACAAGUCGGCGACGAAGCCUAGA
rnacentral:rRNA from 1 species